rnacentral:lncRNA from 1 species
AAGAAAUAGAAGUACUAAAGCAAGGCUGUAAAUACACUGCUAAAACUUUUCAAACUCCUGAUGUUGAAAGGUCAUAAAAACAGACUGUAUUCAAAUCACUUCCUGUUUUGCCAGCAGAGCCACAAGUAAGUUCCAAGUGGGAAAGUGACUGUUCAAAGUGGCAAACGCAGGAUGAAAAGGACAGCUACACAGCACUCUCAGAAAUCUACAGCAGUGAAAUCUUUGACGAAAGACUGUCAUCUGCCUCUGGGCUUUCUACAGGAUUGUUUUGGCCUUUACAUCCCUCAGCACUUGAAUUUUCAACUUAUCUGUUGCAUUUCUUCAAAUGCUGAUUUGUGGUAACUCAAAUUAUCUUAAGAAGAAGUCACCAAGGAGGAGCCCAAGAACUCGUAGCUAGAAGCUGUCAGAAGCUGCAUUUAGGGGAUUGAGAGUGGUGAGAGAAGUCUUGGAGCAAGAAUGCAGGACACCAGGGUAAAAGCCCAGUCCGUAGAAUCCUUCCCUAAGCACUUUGAACACGACGAGGUCAAAGACAGUUCGCUUGGCUGGUUGAGCCUUUGGAAACCCAGUGGUGUCACCCACCAGAAGACCCAAAGCUUCAGAGUACUCACACACAGUCUUUCUCCUGGGAAGUGGUCUUUAAGAAGCUGGAGCUGGAUAUACUGAAGGAAUGAAAGUUUUCUGAGCUGACCGCACUGAUAAACCUAGAAGGAGACCAUGGAGCUAACUGCACUGAUAAACCUAGAAGGAGACCAUGGUGAUAAUUGCUUCAUAAUUUUCAAAAGUCAGCAUUAACUGCUGAGUAGCAGAGUGGACUUAAAUUUGUGUCUUCAGUGGAAAUGAUCACAGUGAUGUCCUUACUGCCUCCUAACUCAUGAAAGGAACAACUGGCUGGUCCCUGGAACUCCCUGCAUGACUGAUGAUUGCCCACGGACUUCUAAAACCAUCUUUACUCUGAAAAUGUGAAUGUUGCCCAUGACCUUCGGCUGAUGGAUGAUAUCUGGGCCUGAGAUGGCAAUAUCAGGUAUUUCUGAAGACAUCCUAGGGAAAUGUGGGGAUUGCCAUGGUGCCUCUGAGCUUACCUCUAGAACAGACAUUUUGAUAAGCACUUUUGCUUCUUUCUCUGAAUUCUAAAUCAGCCCUAGAUCGCUGGAGGAUAAUUCUGAAACAAGCCCUACCCAGUCAAUUUUCCUGAAGUUUCAUGAGGAUUCUGAAGAGCGGUGACUGGUGUUGGACUGAAACCAGGGAGGAAGGCCAAGGAGAGGAGAGCACUCAGAGGCAGUGGGUGGACAGAGGUCAUCCAGAGACUUGCAGAAAAUAGGACCAAAGCCAUGGCCCCAGACAGGAGUGGCAAUCCUAAGUGCAGUUUUAGUUGCACUUUUGAGAUAAUGGAAGUACAAAAUCCAUCACUUAACCUCUUUUAACAUCAGUUUAUUCAUCUGCAAAACAUUGACAUGCUACUUCACAGCAUUCUUCACAUAUAAUAAGAAACAGCAUGUUAAAAUACUAAACAAAGCUUAAGAUGUGAUGCAAAUAUACUAUCAGAGUAGAUUGUAGAUUAUAGUUCUAUCACUUAUCUCUUUCUUAUUCAUAAGAGAAGCUCUUAUGGACAUUGAGUUAAUUAUUUCUUUUCCCUCCUUAUUUAUGAGCAUACAUGUCUUAUUCAAGGUUUAAAAUAUCACUUGGAAAUUAACAAGGGGUUUCACAAAUAUAGUAAUAUUCCCUAUUUGUUCACAAUAUUUUGUCCCAGAAUGAUGCUUUUGAAAAAAUAAAAGAACUGCUUAUAAAAUCGUGGUACAGUCAAGGCAGACUAUAAACAAAUGCUCACCAACCAACAGAAGAAAUCUAUCCUGCAAUAUAGAUGACUUUCCCAGUGCACCAUGAUAGUUCCUUUAAGCUGUUACGAAUUAUUCCAUAAACAUGUAUUUAGAGACUUUUAAAUAUGCAGAUUAUUGGCCUGAGAAACCAUUUCAUCUCCAAAGGAACAUUUGCAGGCUGUCGUGCAAAUCUGCAUUUGAGGAACUUUCACAUUAUGAUCUUAGUGAAUUCUUGACCAGAUAGACUUGAGCAGCUGCCACCCAUGCUUGGGAAGUCCCUUUGCUUGAGAAGACAAAAUAGCUCAUUUGUUUGCAAUUCUUUCCUGAAAGUACACAAGGGCAAUUUUCUACAUUGUGAAUUGCUUCUAUCAGAGCAACAUUUUCCCUGAAAGACCAUAGCUCAUUAUGCUAUUUAGAAACAAACAAACAAAAAUGCAU